rnacentral:rRNA from 1 species
UAGUCCACGCUGUAAACGAUGUCUACUAGCCGUUGGUUUCCUUGAGGAAGCAGUGGCGCAGCUAACGCGAUAAGUAGACCGCCUGGGGAGUACGGCCGCAAGGUUAAAACUCAAAUGAAUUGACGGGGGCCCGCACAAGCGGUGGAGCAUGUGGUUUAAUUCGAUGCAACGCGAAGAACCUUACCAGGUCUUGACAUCCUGAAAACUUUCUAGAGAUAGAUUGGUGCCUUCGGGAAUUCAGUGACAGGUGCUGCAUGGCUGUCGUCAGCUCGUGUCGUGAGAUGUUGGGUUAAGUCCCGUAACGAGCGCAACCCUUGUCCUUAGUUGCUAGCAGGUAAUGCUGAGAACUCUAAGGAGACUGCCGGCGUAAGCCGCGAGGAAGGUGGGGACGACGUCAAAUCAUCAUGGCCCUUAUGCCUAGGGCUACACACGUGCUACAAUGGUGACUACAGAGGGUCGCGAAACCGUGAGGUGGAGCUAAUCUCAGAAAGGUCAUCCC